UACGUAGGGGGCAAGCGUUGUCCGGAUUCAUUGGGCGUAAAGAGCGUGUAGGCGGCCAGGUAGGUCGGUUGUGAAAACUGGAGGCUCAACCUUCAGAGGUCGACCGAAACCAUCUGGCUAGAGUCCGGGAGAGGAGAGUGGAAUUCCUGGUGUAGCGGUGAAAUGCGCAGAUAUCAGGAAGAACACCCGUGGCGAAAGCGGCUCUCUGGAACGGUACUGACGCUGAGACGCGAAAGCGUGGGGAGCGAAACAGGAUUAGAACC
rnacentral:rRNA from 1 species